rnacentral:misc_RNA from 1 species
AAGUCGUAACAAGGUUUCCGUAGGUGAACCUGCGGAAGGAUCAUUAACGUAUGUAUAUGUAAGUAAGAGUGAGGUAGUGGGGGCAUAUGCCCCUAUGAAGAAUAUAACAAACAAGUAGAAUAAUUUAUUAAUGAAGAUAACUUUUAACAAUGGAUCUCUAGGCUCUC